rnacentral:lncRNA from 1 species
UCCUCCCAACACCACCUCCACCACCACCACCAAGUGCUCCACUCCUCCAUUUCCCCGAUCUCAACGGUGGUUGCUCCUUGUUUCUCCACUGUACAUCCUACAACAUCAAACAACCACCCAACAGGUUAUUAGACAAAAUAACAUAUUUUAUGGUGAAUUCUCAGUUGCAGUAAUUAUCAGAGUUAUUUUUACUAUAAAUACAUUAUCUGAUAAAAUAUAGACGGUUAAUAUGUCUGAUCCCAUGUUAAAAAUUACUUUUACUAAAUUUUUAUAUAUUUUUUAUAUGAUAUAAGUUUAUAUUAAAAUUAUAUAACAAAAUAAAUUAUUUAUUUACAUAUAUAUAUAUUUUUUUAAGAGUAGAUGUAUUCAAUCUGAUCAGGUUAUUUACCAGUCGUAGACGGUGGGGGUGUUGGGCUGGGGCUUGUCGAAGAGGUUGGAGCCGAGGGUCUUGGUGGCGAGGUUGCUCCCCGGGUGGAACACGCUGCGCCAGACGUUCACCUUGUGCGGCGUCGACGGCGUGUUUGGCGUCACAGGAGUCGUCGGCGUGGCCGGCAUCGAGAUCGACCUCUGGUAGCCCUUGCCUGCGCCGCCGCUGCUCUCUCCUUCGUC